CAACUGCAGCGCAGGACGCGCUCAGGGUCAAGGAUGACGGGCCAUUUCAAGGAUGAACGCCGACAGGAUGUUGGCUGACAGGAUGUCAUUGAUGGCCAGAAAAGAACCCGCCUCGGCGGGUUUUUU
rnacentral:sRNA from 1 species